rnacentral:rRNA from 1 species
GUGUCAGCAGCCCGCGGUAAUACGGAGGGUGCAAGCGUUAAUCGGAAUUACUGGGCGUAAAGCGCGCGUAGGCGGCUUUUUAAGUCGGAUGUGAAAGCCCCGGGCUCAACCUGGGAACUGCACCCGAUACUGGAAGGCUAGAGUGCGAGAGAGGGAGGUAGAAUUCCAUGUGUAGCGGUGAAAUGCGUAGAUAUAUGGAGGAAUACCAGUGGCGAAGGCGGCCUCCUGGCUCGACACUGACGCUGUGGUGCGAAAGCGUGGGGAGCAAACAGGAUUAGAUACCCUGGUAGUCCACGCCGUAAACGAUGUCUACUAGCUGUUGGGGUACUUGAGACCUUGGUAGCGCAGCUAACGCAAUAAGUAGACCGCCUGGGGAGUACGGCCGCAAGGUUAAAACUCAAAUGAAUUGACGGGGGCCCGCACAAGCGGUGGAGCAUGUGGUUUAAUUCGAUGCAACGCGAAGAACCUUACCAGGCCUUGACAUCCUCGGAACUUUCCAGAAAUGGAUUGGUGCCUUCGGGAACCGAGUGACAGGUGCUGCAUGGCUGUCGUCAGCUCGUGUCGUGAGAUGUUGGGUUAAGUCCCGUAACGAGCGCAACCCCUAUCGUUAGUUGCCAGCAUUUAGUUGGGCACUCUAGCGAGACUGCCGGUGAUAAGCCGGAGGAAGGCGGGGAUGACGUCAAGUCCUCAUGGCCCUUAUGGGCUGGGCUACACACGUGCUACAAUGGCAGUGACAGAGGGACGCUACUUCGCGAGAAGAUGCAAAUCUCAAAAAGCUGUCUCAGUUCGGAUUGUUGUCUGCAACUCGACAACAUGAAGUCGGAAUCGCUAGUAAUCGCGUAUCAGCUCGACGCGGUGAAUACGUUCCCGGGCCUUGCACACACGCCCGUC